AGUGGCGAACGGGUGAGUAACGCGUGAGUAUCUGCCCUUAGGAGGGGGACAACAGUUGGAAACGACUGCUAAUACCCCAUAUGUCUACGGAUGAAAGAUUUUAUCGCCUGAGGAUGAACUCGCGUCUGAUUAGCUAGUUGGUGAGGUAAAGGCUCACCAAGGCGACGAUCAGUAGCUGGUCUGAGAGGAUGAUCAGCCACACUGGGACUGAGACACGGCCCAGACUCCUACGGGAGGCAGCAGUGGGGAAUUUUCCGCAAUGGGGGCAACCCUGACGGAGCAAUACCGCGUGCGGGAGGACGGCCUGUGGGUUGUAAACCGCUUUUCUCAGGGAAGAAGACCUGACGGUACCUGAGGAAUCAGCAUCGGCUAACUCCGUGCCAGCAGCCGCGGUAAUACGGAGGAUGCAAGCGUUAUCCGGAAUUAUUGGGCGUAAAGCGUCCGUAGGUGGUUAAUCAAGUCUGCUGUUAAAGAGCGGAGCUUAACUCCGUUUAAGCGGUGGAAACUGGUUGACUAGAGAGUGGUAGGGGUAGAGGGAAUUCCCAGUGUAGCGGUGAAAUGCGUAGAUAUUGGGAAGAACACCGGUGGCGAAAGCGCUCUACUGGGCCACAUCUGACACUGAUGGACGAAAGCUAGGGGAGCGAAAGGGAUUAGAUACCCC
rnacentral:rRNA from 1 species